UACGAAGGGUGCAAGCGUUAUUCGGAAUUACUGGGCGUAAAGCGCGCGUAGGCGGCUUUUUAAGUCUGUCGUGAAAUCCCCGGGCUCAACCUGGGAAUGGCGAUGGAUACUGGCGAGCUAGAGUGUGUCAGAGGAUGGUGGAAUUCCCGGUGUAGCGGUGAAAUGCGUAGAGAUCGGGAGGAACAUCAGUGGCGAAGGCGGCCAUCUGGGACAAAACUGACGCUGAAGCACGAAAGCGUGGGGAGCAAACAGG
rnacentral:rRNA from 1 species